AUCAUUUCUUUUAUUAUAUGCUAAAUCUACGUGAAAACUAACCUUUUUACUACAAUGCAUGGCAUGCAGAUCAUGUAUUACCUUCGCGAAAACAAAAUGAUACAUUUCUAUUUCAAGGAGACUCAAUCCAUGUGAAAUUACGAGAGCAGAAGUAUAAUCUCUUUUAUGUUCAAGGAAACAUUUCUUUUGAAUCGUUCAUCGAAAUCAAGAGAGAGGAUGAGAAUAAUUAUAAUCACAUGGACAGACAUUCUUGUUAUUCAAGCCCUGCCUCUGUUAUUGAAGAACCCAUUAUCCAUUCCCCGUUCGGAGAGUCUAUCAGGUAAACGCAAUGCUUACGCACCUGUCCUUUAUAAGACGUAUUCCUCAUAGAGGUCUGAACAUACUCCAUUACAACUCGCAUAUCGUCUACAACAAACCGAUUAACUCUUCCGCUCUCUACCGCCGCCUCACUUUUCCUUAUCAAUUAACUUCGAGUGCCCCUCUGCGUAUUUUGCCCAGUAUAAAAUAGGUAAUGGUAUGGUUGCAAUGUACCCGAAAGUUAACUUUCUCACGAAAUCGCCCCUGUCACAUGACAAGACCUACAGACCCUAUUGCUCUUCAUAGUCUUCAUACUCAUCGGCGUAGGAAAAGACGAAACUGUGAUGAAACACAAGGAAAUUCUGAUCUUCAAAUGCAAAAUAUUAAUCGUCCAUCCGGAGAUGUACUCAUACUUUUGCUAUGGUAACUGUAUUUACAACAAAUACAGACUAUGAAAAUGCGGAAAUUCUCAUGAUUAGGUCAUUCAGAAUUCUAAAUCACCAGGAAGGGGGAAGUAACCCCACAAAGUCUAAAGAUCUACAUCAUUUAGUGAAUUUGAAAAUACAUUUCGGAAAAAUUUGAUGUGAAAAACGCAGAAACAGACAUUGACCCUAAAAAAAAACAUUCCCGUCAACGGGUGUUCCAGAUCAUCUAAAUUAUACAUUGGAAUCAAGAGAGAGGAGGGAUACCUAUAGUCACAUGGACAGGCAUUCUUGCUCUUCAAGCCCUGCCACUGUUAGUAAAGAAUCCAUUAUCUAUUCUCCUGUCAGCAUUGCUCUCUACUGUGUGGUUGGAGUCCUCACAGUAUUCGUACUCAUCAACGUAGGGAUCGAUUUGUAUCUCAGGAAAAGACGAAACCGUGAGGAAACACAAGACAGAGAUAUCGUUGAGAGAGAUUUUGAUCCUGAAAUGCAAAUAGAAUCAAUUGAAGAUCGAAUCAACCAUCCUACAUUCGUUGAAGAUUCUGAAAAUGUUGUUAUGUCGAAUGAUCUCCCAGCAAACACGGACUAUACAAAAUGUCCAGAUAGCCCAAAAUAAAUAAUGAACUGAAAAA